rnacentral:rRNA from 1 species
GAUGAACGCUGGCGGCGUGCCUAAUACAUGCAAGUCGAGCGAACGGACGAGAAGCUUGCUUCUCUGAUGUUAGCGGCGGACGGGUGAGUAACACGUGGAUAACCUACCUAUAAGACUGGGAUAACUUCGGGAAACCGGAGCUAAUACCGGAUAAUAUUUUGAACCGCAUGGUUCAAAAGUGAAAGACGGUCUUGCUGUCACUUAUAGAUGGAUCCGCGCUGCAUUAGCUAGUUGGUAAGGUAACGGCUUACCAAGGCAACGAUGCAUAGCCGACCUGAGAGGGUGAUCGGCCAGACGGGAACUGAGACACGGUCCAGACUCCUACGGGGGGCAGCAGUAGGGAAUCUUCCGCAAUGGGCGAAAGCCUGACGGAGCAACGCCGCGUGAGUGAUGAAGGUCUUCGGAUCGUAAAACUCUGUUAUUAGGGAAGAACAUAUGUGUAAGUAACUGUGCACAUCUUGACGGUACCUAAUCAGAAAGCCACGGCUAACUACGUG